rnacentral:rRNA from 1 species
CCUACGGGAGGCAGCAGUGGGGAAUAUUGGGCAAUGGGCGCAAGCCUGACCCAGCAACGCCGCGUGAAGGAAGAAGGCUUUCGGGUUGUAAACUUCUUUUCUCAGGGACGAAGCAAGUGACGGUACCUGAGGAAUAAGCCACGGCUAACUACGUGCCGGCAGCCGCGGUAAUACGUAGGUGGCAAGCGUUAUCCGGAUUUACUGGGUGUAAAGGGCGUGUAGGCGGGGACGCAAGUCAGAUGUGAAGACCACGGGCUCAACCUGUGGCCUGCAUUUGAAACUGCCUGACUGGAGUGCUGGAGAGGCAAGCGGAAUUCCUAGUGUAGCGGUGAAAUGCGUAGAUAUUAGGAAGAACACCAGUGGCGAAGGCGGCUUGCUGGACAGUAACUGACGUUGAGGCUCGAAAGCGUGGGGAGCAAACAGGAUUAGAUACCCUUGUAGUC